GACUAACUGGAAUGCUUAGAGUGGAGGAGAUGCGAAUCUUGUCUUCAUGGGCUCCUCUCUUCUCUCUUGGCCAUAUAAAGUCCUCUAUUUGCUUAUUCUGUACAUGUUGGAUGAGUGGACUCAAUCAAUACGUGAUCUUUUGAGACUGAUUUUUUUCUACUUAACAUAAUGUUUUCCAGAUUCAUCUCUGCUUUUGUAUGUAUCGAAAAAGAAAAAAAAGGAGCUUGGUGGAACAUUUUCUCUCUGAAGAAUUUUGAACUCUUUACAGAUGAUUGGCAUAGUACUCAGUUUCCUGAUAUCUUUUUUAAGAUUUCCUCCCUGAGGAAACUGUCUCACAGAGGAAGAAUGAAGCUUCUGACCACAUCCUGAUGUCCUGGAGUGUGGUUGAGCAGCCUUUUUCAGGUCUCAGGAAA